GAAAUUAAAAAUCAAAUUUAGAUGUCAGAAUAAGUUACACUUUUAUUAUUUUUUUUAACCUCUGUGUCUCAGUUUUACAUGUACCUGAUAUUCCAAAAAACACAAACAUGAAUUGACUUUUUCAUUCCAGGAGCUUACCGGUGUUGAAAUUUUCAAUUUUCAAUUAUUUAAAUACUGUGGUUUCAUCAAUAUACGUUGAAUACCAAUUUUCAUGGAUGUCGUUGUUUAGUUGAUCCACGAAAUUAAAUGUUCAUUGAAGAGCAAUUUUUAUUAACAUUUUGUAUUGAUAGGGUCAUCGGCCACGAAUUUACGUAUCCUUGAAACUGUGAUUUUCACUUUAUCCACGAAAAAUUGAUGCCCUUGAAAAUUAAUGAAACCACAGUAGCUGGUGAAAUCCCUGUCUCCCAUUGUUUAUUUUUUUUUUAGGGUUUCAUUACACUGUUUUUUAAGAAUUGAUCAAAGCGUUUUUGUUGGAAAAAAAAUAUUCUUUUGUAUGUAUUAAAAAUGUUAAACGAAAAAUUGAUGGUACAGCUUUCUCAUGUUAAAUUCAAAAAAUUCUUACGACGUAAGAAAGUUAAGUUUACAUUAAAAAAAUUGUCGUUUUUCUUCACGUGUCAUAUGAUACAUGCAGGAUAUAAUAAAGUUAUGCACUGAAUG
rnacentral:sRNA from 1 species